UGGGGAAUUUUGGACAAUGGGCGAAAGCCUGAUCCAGCAAUGCCGCGUGUGUGAAGAAGGCCUUCGGGUUGUAAAGCACUUUUGUCCGGAAAGAAAUCCUUGGCUCUAAUACAGUCGGGGGAUGACGGUACCGGAAGAAUAAGCACCGGCUAACUACGUGCCAGCAGCCGCGGUAAUACGUAGGGUGCAAGCGUUAAUCGGAAUUACUGGGCGUAAAGCGUGCGCAGGCGGUUUGCUAAGACCGAUGUGAAAUCCCCGGGCUCAACCUGGGAACUGCAUUGGUGACUGGCAGGCUAGAGUAUGGCAGAGGGGGGUAGAAUUCCACGUGUAGCAGUGAAAUGCGUAGAGAUGUGGAGGAAUACCGAUGGCGAAGGCAGCCCCCUGGGCCAAUACUGAUGCUCAUGCACGAAAGCGUGGGGAGCAAACAGGAUUAGAUACCCUGGUAGUCCACGCCCUAAACGAUGUCAACUAGUUGUUGGGGAUUCAUUUCCUUAGUAACGUAGCUAACGCGUGAAGUUGACCGCCUGGGGAGUACGUCGCAAGAUUAAAACUCAAAUGAAUUGACGGGGUCAUAGCUGUUUCCU
rnacentral:rRNA from 1 species